AAAAUGUAAAUUGAUAGGUACAUAUUAGAUUUCAGUAAAACUAUCAAUACCGUUAUGGUUUCUUUUUUUUUUUUUUUACCCCUUAGUCACUUCUUUGGAGCAGAACAAAGAUUCUUGUUCAUCAGUUCACAAAAGUAAGAGAAGAUUUCAGGACCUUAGAGGAUACAUUCCUGGGCUCUAUGUUCGAUGGCCUUACGUGGUGUGGGAAAACCAACAGCGCAGGUAUACAUUU